rnacentral:rRNA from 1 species
GCCAUUGGCGGUAGCACGAUGAGUGCACCAGUUAAGCAACGUUAUGUGUGGUUGGUAUCCGAAUGGGUGACUAUCUGGGCAAUCGCGUGCUGCUGGCU